rnacentral:rRNA from 1 species
CCGCCGCGGUAAAACCAGCUCUUCAGUGGUCGGGAUAAUUAUUGGGCUUAAAGUGUCCGUAGCCGGUUUAGUAAGUUCCUGGUAAAACCGGGCAGCUUAACUGUCCGUAUGCUAGGAAUACUGCUAUGCUAGAGGGCGGGAGAGGUCUGAGGUACUACAGGGGUAGGGGUGAAAUCUUAUAAUCCUUGUAGGACCACCAGUGGCGAAAGCGUCAGACUGGAACGCGCCUGACGGUGAGGGACGAAAGCCAGGGGAGCGAACCGGAUUAGAUACCCGGGUAGUCCUGGCCGUAAACGAUGCAUACUAGGCAAUGGUGCGGCCAUGAGCCGCAUCAGUACCGUAGGGAAACCGUUAAGUGUGCCGCCUGGGAAGUACGGUCGCAAGGCUAAAACUUAAAGGAAUUGGCGGGGGAGCACCACAAGGGGUGAAGCCUGCGGUUCAAUUGGACUCAACGCCGGGAAACUUACCAGGGGAGACAGCAGAAUGACAGUCAGGUUGACGACCUUACUCGACGAGCUGAGAGGAGGUGCAUGGCCGUCGCCAGUUCGUGCCGUGAGGUAUCCUGUUAAGUCAGGCAACGAACGAGAUCCGCGCCUUUAUUUGCCAUCAAGAAGUCACGACUUCGUUGGGAACACUAAAGGGACCGCCGUCGAUAAGACGGAGGAAGGAGCGGGCAAAGGCAGGUCAGUAUGCCCCGAAACCCCUGGGGCUACACGCGGGCUGCAAUGGUGCGAACAAUGGGCUGUAACUCCGAAAGGAGAAACCAAUCCCGAAAUCGCAUCUCAGUGGGGAUUGUCGACUGUAACUCGUUGACAUGAACGUGGAAUCCCUAGUAAUCGCGUGUCACCAUCGCGCGGGAAAUACGUCUCUGCU